UUAUUUGCUUCUUUUUUACUAUUAAUUAAAAGGUUGGGCCUUCUGCUACUAUGUUGAGCAUUUAUGAAAAUGAAAUUAGCAGUUAUUAGAGGAGAAGGCAGGGAUUAAAUCCUAAUUAAGCAUAAGAUCUACUUCUGGGGAACAGAGAUAUGGGAUACAAGUACAAAAAGCGAGGCUGAGGUUUUUCUUGAAGGAGUUUCUAAUCAAAAGCUUCUACUUUUAUCUCUUUUCUUGAAGGGCUCUGAGACAGGGUACUAAUGUUGCAAGCUGCCAUUUAUGGUCUUCUAAAUCUAAGUGGAGAUGCAAGAAUUAUUGAUCAAGAAACUGGGCUAAGAUAUUGAUGGGUCAACUCCAGUUCUUUUCAGUGGUAAGCAGGACUGAGAUUGGAGAAUGCUAUAGGGUUUUGACCCAUUUUUUGAUCAAUUUUUUUGUAAGUUGGGAAGAUAUUGCUUCUUUUCUCCUGUGUUUGCUUUUAGCAACACUGUCCAUGGGUACUUGUCUGAAAGGAUAAACAUUUUACUGGGUAUGCCUACAAAUAUCUUAUAAACCCUGUAGCUUUUUGUUGUGGAAUUGUGAAUUAUAAUGGAGCUGAACAAAA